GAAAAACCAGAGAAAAAUUCAGAGAGAAACAGAGAAAGAAGAGAGAAAAUUUGUGAGAAAAACUAGUUGAAAAAUUCAGAAAAAAAUCAGAGAAGAGAAUUGAGCAUGGACAAACCUUUCUCACCAUCCUGUGACUUUAUCCAGUGUGUUCUGGUGUGGUUAAGAGCUGAAGGUUUGGUGUCCAAGAUUUUAGAAUUACCCACAUUCUUCAGCCUUUGAUUUUGAUCGGUAAGAUGGUUGUAGAUCAGUUUCUGUGAGAAGUUUUGUUGGUUUGCCUACACUGGAGAUAAAUUAUGAAUAAAUCCAACCAUGGAUUCUUGUGGUGUUGAUCAGGUUAAUUCGUGGUUAGCUUGAAGACAGACAACCAGUCAAGUUUAAUUAGUUGAGUAAAACCGGUAAGCUUCAGCUUCUUGAUUCAGCCAUGUUUUGAUGAGAACCAAUUGCUGUAUGUUGGUUAACCUGUCAGGAUCAGUUGUCUAAGGUCUUGUUCUCUUCAGUCUUGGUUGGUUUAUGAUUUAAUCAGUCUCAUAGAACCAAUAGACAAACUGAUAAGAAUUAUGGGAAUUAAACCGAACUGAUUUUAUCUUGUUUAGAACUGAAUUGAUCUGAGUAUGUUCUGAUCUGAUCUGAGCCGAGCUGUCUAUGGUCUGAAAUUGUCUUGAACUGAUGUCGUCUGAGUAUAACCGAGUUAAGCUGUUGGGAACUGAUUAGAACCGGAGUUAGCUGAGCAUGAACUAAGCUGAUAUGAACCGAGUCAAACUGUUAAAGCUUGAACCGAGUUGAACAUCGUAUCAAUCUGUCUUGAACCGAACUGAUAUGAGAGAACUGAACUGAAAUGUUAUGAACUGAGUUGAGUUUCUUCUUGAACCAGACUAGUGAACCUUGUGUUCCAACUGUUAUGUUUUGAAUUCAGAUGGCCAAGGAGAGUAUUCGGAUCAGCCGGAUCCUUGUGAUGGUUCUGAACCGAGAGUGAUCCAGAAGUGAAGUGUGAUUAGCUUGAGCUCGAGUCUAGUCAUCCUUAGCCAAUCUCAUGGAUUUAAAGGUGAGUCUAGA
rnacentral:lncRNA from 1 species